GUUUCUUCUACAUCUUAAAAGAGUGCACUCUAUUUCCUUACUUAUGACACAGAAACAUUCAAAAGACUAAAGACCUGUUUGAUAAGCUAAUUCAUUUGUUCCCCAGUAACUGCCUGAAGAGAUUCAGCUGGAAAUGCAAAGGAAAUCAUUAAGAAAAAAUAAAGUCUAUGAAGGCUUUAAAGUUAGAUUUUUAGUAUUUUAAAAUAGAAUGGAUUCCCAAUCAGAACCUACUUUUGGAUAUUCCACAGCUGAUAAACAACCAUCUCUGCUUCAGACUCUUUCUAAAUUCCAGUUUUCUCAUUAAACUUUCCUGAGCAACUGAUCUUAAAAUAACUAACAAACUGUUCUCCUGAACCUGAAUGAACUGCUACAUGACUUGGUAUUUCCAAAAUCUUAAUAACAUAUGAGUGAUGAGCUAUGACAAUCUAAUCAAUUACUAUACAAUCUAAUUCACAUCAUUAUGAUAUAG
rnacentral:lncRNA from 1 species